rnacentral:tRNA from 1 species
GGAGAGAUGGCCGAGCUGGACGAAGGCGCUCGACUCGAAAUCGAGUAGACCGUUAAUAGCGGUCUCGUGGGUUCGAAUCCCACUCUCUCUGCCA